rnacentral:misc_RNA from 1 species
GGCAGACAUCCAUUCAUAUUAGCUUUUGCCUAAAUUUCUCCUGUAUCAUAUUCAGGAACCAAUCCAUCUUCCUGUGAAUUUGCCAGUUACCUAUUUGCUACACUACCCAUGUUUCUGGUUUACAAGCAGAGGCAGCCCCUAACAGUUGCCACUGCAAUUCUUAUGGAAUACAUAUUUUUAAAGUUAACAGGUAACAGCAAGCAUACAUUUCCUUAUCAUCUGUCAAUAUAUCAAAGAAAUGGAGGGAAAAGAAAAGAAAAGAAAAGAAAAACUUCAUCCUCAUCACCAACCCUUGAGAGGUUCAGACAAUUCUUCCCCCAUAAAUGAAAACAACUUGCAAAUUGUAAGCAAUA